rnacentral:rRNA from 1 species
GACAGAGGAUGCAAGCGUUAUCCGGAAUGAUUGGGCGUAAAGCGUCUGUAGGUGGCUUUUUAAGUCCGCCGUCAAAUCCCAGGGCUCAACCCUGGACAGGCGGUGGAAACUACCAAGCUGGAGUACGGUAGGGGCAGAGGGAAUUUCCGGUGGAGCGGUGAAAUGCGUAGAGAUGUGGAGGAAUACCGAUGGCGAAGGCAGCCUCCUGGGCCAACACUGACGCUCAUGCACGAAAGCGUGGGGAGCAAACAGG